UACGUAGGGUGCGAGCGUUAAUCGGAAUUACUGGGCGUAAAGCGUGCGUAGGCGGUGAUGUAAGACAGAUGUGAAAUCCCCGGGCUCAACCUGGGAACUGCAUUUGUGACUGUAUAGCUAGAGUACGGCAGAGGGGGAUGGAAUUCCGCGUGUAGCAGUGAAAUGCGUAGAGAUGUGGAGGAACACCAAUGGCGAAGGCAGCCCCCUGGGUCGAUACUGACGCUCAUGCACGAAAGCGUGGGGAGCAAACAGG
rnacentral:rRNA from 1 species